GGCGGCAUGCUUAACACAUGCAAGUCGCACGGGCAGGGGUAACUCUGUCAGUGGCGGACGGGUGAGUAACGCGUAGGUAUCUAUCCUUGGGUGGGGGACAACCGCGGGAAACUGCGGCUAAUACCGCAUGAUGACUCAGGUCCAAAGGCCGCAAGGUCGCCUGGGGAGGAGCCUGCGUCCGAUUAGCUUGUUGGUGGGGUAAUGGCCUACCAAGGCUCCGAUCGGUAGCUGGUCUGAGAGGAUGAUCAGCCACACUGGGACUGAGACACGGCCCANACUCCUACGGGAGGCAGCAGUGGGGAAUAUUGGACAAUGGGCGAAAGCCUGAUCCAGCAAUGCCGCGUGGGUGAAGAAGGUCUUCGGAUUGUAAAGCCCUUUCGACGGGGACGAUGAUGACGGUACCCGUAGAAGAAGCCCCGGCUAACUUCGUGCCAGCAGCCGCGGUAAUACGAAGGGGGCUAGCGUUGCUCGGAUUGACUGGGCGUAAAGGGCGCGUANGCGGCUUGUACAGUCAGACGUGAAAUUCCUGGGCUCAACCUGGGGGCUGCGUUUGAUACGUGCGGGCUUGA
rnacentral:rRNA from 1 species